UACCAGCACCCCGAGUGGUCGGGACGAUUAUUGGGCCUAAAGCAUCCGUAGCCGGCCUUACAGGUCCUCCGUUAAAUCCAGCUGCUUAACAGAUGGGCUGCGGAGGAUACUAUAAGACUAGGAGGCAGGAGAGGCAAGCGGUACUCAGUGGGUAGGGGUAAAAUCCGUUGAUCCAUUGAAGACCACCAGUGGCGAAGGCGGCUUGCCAGAAUGCGCUCGACGGUGAGGGAUGAAAGCUGGGGGAGCAAACCGG
rnacentral:rRNA from 1 species